UGGGGAAUUUUGGACAAUGGGCGGAAGCCUGAUCCAGCAAUGCCGCGUGUGUGAAGAAGGCCUUCGGGUUGUAAAGCACUUUUGUCCGGAAAGAAAUCCUUGGCUCUAAUACAGUCGGGGGAUGACGGUACCGGAAGAAUAAGCACCGGCUAACUACGUGCCAGCAGCCGCGGUAAUACGUAGGGUGCAAGCGUUAAUCGGAAUUACUGGGCGUAAAAGCGUGCGCAGGCGGUUUGCUAAGACCGAUGUGAAAAUCCCCGGGCUCAACCUGGGAACUGCAUUGGUGACUGGCAGGCUAGAGUAUGGCAGAGGGGGGUAGAAUUCCACGUGUAGCAGUGAAAAUGCGUAGAGAUGUGGAGGAAUACCGAUGGCGAAGGCAGACCCCUGGGCCAAUACUGACGCUCAUGCACGAAAAGCGUGGGGGAGCAAAACAGGAUUAGAUACCCUGGUAGUCCACGCCCUAAAACGAUGUCAACUAGUUGUUGGGGAUUCAUUUCCUUAGUAACGUAGCUAACGCGUGAAAGUUGACCGCCUGGGGAGUACGGUCGCAAGAUUAAAAACUCAAAUGAAUUGACGGGGUCAUAGCUGUUUCC
rnacentral:rRNA from 1 species